UUGUGUUGUUGUGUUCUUCUUUCUCUUUUAGGGUUUUACCCUUCAAUCUUACAGAGUAGAUCCUGUAGAUUGAGCCUGAUCACUCAUUUGUAGUGUAGAUCACUACAAGUGGUAUCAGAGACGGUCUUUCCUUGGAUUGAUCAUGGAUGAUGGUAAUGGAUUUAAGGCUUUAGCUGGGCAAUUAUCUACUUUUCUUCGGGUUCAAGAAGUAACAACAAGGGUUUUAAAAAAUAAACCCUCUCAUGUGCUUCUAGCCAAAUACAAGAAAAUUUUAGCAAGAGAAACGAAGAAAUUGCUGUUACUGGAGCGUGAGAUAUAUUUGAGUCAAUCUGUUGAUGAGAAUUGGGAAUCAAAUUCAUGGGAGAGAGCUUCGAAUUAAUUGGAUCUGUGUUGAAGGAAGUGACGCUCAUGGAGAAAGAAAUCGGUCAAAAACUGGAAGAACCUCCUACUGAUUCAAUUUCAUUAAACGAUUUCACUUCAAAAACUUCUCUUCUAGCAACAAACAAAGGUAAUUAUCGAUCCAGUUUCAAUCCCCAAUUUUCAAUUAUUGAUAGAGCUAAAGAUGGCAGUUCAAAUCGCAACUGUGAGAAAUCAGUACCGAUUCAUGAAAAUGUUUCUUCUCACAAAACCGAGUCCAUUUUUUCCUUCUAUGAUGGGUGCAAAGUGAAUCUACUAUUUCUGGAUUACCAAGAGGGUAAGCUUUUCGAUUCCAUAAUCAAUUCAGUUAAUGAUUUUGUUAAGAAGAAUUUCGUCAAAUUGAGCGAGGAGGAUUUCAAACAAGUACUAUUAACCCUAACUCACAGAUUAUUAAUGGCUAACUGUUCUUCCAGUAUUAUGAAUUCUUCUCGUAGCUUAUUCGAUCGUGGAAAAUACAAAUUGAAGUUUGAUUUUAGAUUGAGGUUAUCUUAUUGCAUGGGUUUUCAAUUUUUGGAUAAUUUGUAUACAAAAAUUGUUCAGAAGCUUGUUUAUCAAAGGGGGUAUCAAUCAAAUUGGUUUUCUGGUGAUUCAAUCUCUUGUAUUCUAGAGAAUGAUGGUUUUAUUACUACUGCUUGAUAUAUGUUUGAUAAAAUGCUUGAGUGCGAAGUUAUGAGAAGGUUAUUUGAUCGAGGAAAGCAGUUUGAAGCUAUUAAAAGGUAUUCUUAUUAUGUUCAAAGUAAUUCUGAAUUCAAUGGGAAAUAUGUUUAUGAGCUAGUUCUUACAAUAGGGUACAUAUUAGAUUCAAUAUUUGAGAACUCGACUGGGUGUGUAAUUGUUAAAGAUGGUAAUAGGUGUUAUGGUAGAAAACUGUUUGUGCAAAGGUCCCAGAGAGGUGGUAGCACCAGGUAUAGUCUUGGUAGAAGGAUAUUUGAUCGUGGUAAAGAAAUUGAUGUAUUCAGAAGGGAAUUAUGUAUAUGAGCUAAUUCUGGGAGUUGGAUACUAUUAGAUUUUUUAUUCGAGUAUUCAAUUGUGUUCUUGUUGGUUAUCAAAGGUGACAGUAGAGAUGAUUGCAAGUGCUUUGAGAAAAUGAUGUAGCAAGUUGUUCUUCUAUGGACUAAAUGGCUACUUCAAAUGCCAAGAAAAAAUGAGUCUGGCAAUGCAGACCAACUAUUGGAUCAAAUACCUGAUCGUCACAGCUGGAGUUUGAAAGAUGAUGAAGUGUUGUGUUAAGGGCUUAAAUUGGAUACUAUAUCCUGUAAUUCAGUGAUCACUCAGGUCCUAAAGAAGUAUGAGGUUGGGAUGGCCCAGGAAGGGCUUGAUAUAAUUCAUAAUACUAUUGCGUGGAGUUGUUAUAUAGAUGCAGAUUUCUUUCUUUUGCAGCUUGCCGAUGGGGUACCUAUGAAAGUAACACGUCUCCAUAUUUGAUCAACAAAGAUUCAUCUUAAUGCAAAAGAGGAGUAUGAUGUAUUGAGGGUUCUUGCGAAGAGUUUAAAAGAAAGUAAGUCAUCUGCGAUCUUGAACUCCGACGGAGAUUUUUUAGUGUUCCCUGACUAUUCUCUCAUGUAUUUGCGCUAUCCUCAACAUGAAUCUUCUUACUGUUAUCGACUAUUACACUUGAUAUACCAGCCAGUGGACGGUUAUACCAAGUUAGGGUACUAUGGACAGAUAAUGGGAUUACAGAUGAUGUUCAUAGUGAUUCACAUCCCCGUUGUGUCGAUAUUCGCGUGGUACUUGAAAUGGAAAUUCAAGUUGUUUCCAACUGGGUUGUGCAGUGUGAUAAAUGUUAGGUGGGUUGAUAAUAUGUUUAUAUCAGUGGGGUGUCUUGACAUCAACCGGACCUAUAAGAGCAACUGGUUCUGCGAAGGCAAGGUCCAUAAUAAAAUUGCAGUAAUUCUUCGGAGGAGCAAUAUAUUUCUGUCAAGUACUAUAUGACUUUUCACCGAGUUACCUGAAACACCUGUCUGUAUGGGUUAUUGACGUUUGCUGUUUGAUAGAGGUAAAAUACUUGGCAGUGUAAUGAUGCCACUAUACAAGCACCGCUCUUUUGGAUUCCAGGCUCCUAUGUAACUGCCAGGACAGUGUCAUGGCUCGUCAGAAAUCCUUAUACGGCCGAUGGACAGUCGCAGAAAUUCUUCUAUGUCAGAAAUUCACCGGUUUUAUAUAAAGGCGGAAUUCAUACAGCGUAUGAGCUUUGCAAUUCACAGAAAAAUGGUCAGUUGUUUGUUGGGAUGGGAGUUGAAAUUUUUAGCAUCGGGACUAAAUGUUUUCUCAUGUUCACUCAAAUUAUAAAUGUGUUGAUAUGGGAUGCUUACUUGAGGUGGAAAGUUACAGUAAGUUGUUAUGCUAAGCUCAACUGCGUACUGAUGACGUGGGUGUUCAUAGGUAAACUCGAGAAGAAUUUUAGUUCGUUCGAAUCCCUUGUAAGAGAAGUGGGAGUUCAUGCCAUGACUGUUGAAGCUACAGGUUCAUGGAGUGUGGAAAUUGUUAACUGGAUCAGUGUAACUAGUAUGGGAAUUCACUUCUACGCGGGAAAGGUCACCACGAACAAGUUUCUUUAGUACAAAAGAGAAAAGUACAAGCUGAAGAUACCGAAAUAUUUCAAGCAGUGUGCCUUCUAAUCAGGUAUGCUAAUUGUAUGAAUAUCAGCAUUAGUCAGAAACAUCGUUACAUUCCGCUCAAGGUGCUCCUGGCUGUAAUUACAAAGAUGAAAGGUGAUAAAAAUGGAAAGACUUGCGGCAGUCAGCAAAAUUCUAUGUUUGAAAGAAUAUCAAGUCGACUGGUUGAUUUUCGUGCAACAACUACCGUCAUGGAUGCUCAAUGCAGUUGCAGAGAAAUAUCAGGUGGACUUGUGAGACGAGUGGUGCAGCGUUUCAAGGCCUCACAUGGUUUCUAUUAGCAGUGUGUUUCUGGUCUUGUAAUAGGUCUCUUUCCAGCACUCCAUCUAACUCUUUAACUCAUAUCUUUGAGGACAAGGAUAAUUUAAAGGGGUGGGUAUUUGUCAUGUCCCAUGUAAUAGUUAUGGGCACCCAUUGGUUAUAGGAAUCCUUAGUUGUAGGUAGUGGUUGUAGUCUCACUUGUGUGAGUGACACAUGUCUUCUAGAUGUGCCCUAUUUAGUUGAGAGUCUGUAAUCUUCCUUCCGCAGUGAAUCGAAUAGAAUUGUGUUGUUGUGUUCUUA